rnacentral:lncRNA from 1 species
GCAGCUUCGUGGACAUCACCUGUGAGGGUGACAGCUCUUUACUCUCAAUGGAGGAAAGUGAAGCCAGGCUUACUGAGGAAAAAAAACAACCCUCAGAAAUCAAAAUCAGACAGCUAUACCCGGUCUGGCUGCCCCAGAGCGGGAAGACCUGAACCUUGGCAGGGCUGGCUGCUGUGCUGACCAGUCUGAUAUCAAGAAGAGAAGUGAUUUUCCGAUCCUGCAUCCGGUACAGCUGUGCGGACUCUGCUCUUCCUGCCAUUCCAC